GAUGAACGCUGGCGACGUGCCUAAUACAUGCAAGUCGAGCGAACAGACGAGGAGCUUGCUCCUCUGACGUUAGCGGCGGACGGGUGAGUAACACGUGGAUAACCUACCUAUAAGACUGGGAUAACUUCGGGAAACCGGAGCUAAUACCGGAUAAUAUAUUGAACCGCAUGGUUCAAUAGUGAAAGACGGUUUUGCUGUCACUUAUAGAUGGAUCCGCGCCGCAUUAGCUAGUUGGUAAGGUAACGGCUUACCAAGGCGACGAUGCGUAGCCGACCUGAGAGGGUGAUCGGCCACACUGGAACUGAGACACGGUCCAGACUCCUACGGGAGGCAGCAGUAGGGAAUCUUCCGCAAUGGGCGAAAGCCUGACGGAGCAACGCCGCGUGAGUGAUGAAGGUCUUCGGAUCGUAAAACUCUGUUAUUGGGGAAGAACAAAUGUGUAAGUAACUAUGCACGUCUUGACGGUACCUAAUCAGAAAGCCACGGCAAACUGCGUG
rnacentral:rRNA from 1 species